CAGGGCUGAGGAAGCGGAGCGGAGCUGAGGGGUUUCGGACUCGGAAACGGCCCGAGCUCGCCGGGCUUUCUGUCAGGGAGAGAAGCUGCCUCAACAAGGGCAGGCGGCCUCCGCUCCGCGCUGCUUUCUGCCUCAGAAGCCCUGAUGGGCCGUUGGUUGUUUGUUUGGGUGUGUCGUCUGAGAUUGUUAGCCUGAUGGUAGGGACUGUCUACUUUGAAAACCACUCCAGGACUCUUUUUGUCAGAGGUGAAAAAAAUGCUUUUAAGUAAAUAAAUUGUUUGUGAGUAUACUUGAAGUUAGGCAUGAAAUGUUGCAUUUCCACCCACAAGUAUGUGAAAUAUUUGGAGAGCGAAGUGAACAAAAUGUAAAGAUACAAUAAAUCAGAUGUUACAGGAUUGCUUUUAGAACCCAAAUGUUUUAAGAUUGAUAAUCCUGUUUAGCUCUCCAAAUCCCAUUGGUUCAUUUACCAUGCUAUUAAUAGACCAAGUGAUUGCCAUCAUUAAUAUCUCCCACUUAUUUUAUCCAUCAAUAUCCAGACCCAUUUAAAGAAGUUUAUAGCCCCAGGAGCAGAAAUUAAAAGCAUAGAUUCAGAAAAAUAUAUAAGGUUCAGAAAUAAUAUAUAUAUAAAAUUCAGAAAAAUAUAGGAAGGAACACCUGUUGAGAGGACGAAUAAGUUCAAUCAAUCAGUAUAAGUUUAUUGUUCUAGCCAAAGGCCAUGACAGACCUACAGCAACAGUACCAAUAAAACAAUACAGAUGAUAUAACAAAUAUGUCUAAAACUGUGUAUGGAUGAAAAGCAUGGACAAAAAAUACGUUGAAAUAUGGCGUUGAAUAAUAAUGUGCAAAGUGGGUUGGCAAGAAGGGUAACAAUAAAAUAACUGCAUAGGAUUUGAAAGGGAUGAGGGCCGAGGCAAAGUGGGAAGAAGAAUUAUCAAGUCAUAUAAGGAAUAUUCUAAGAAGUGGUUAAUUCAAUAUAUAACUGAAGAGAAAUGAGAAAAAAUAAAUCAGCAAGAACUACAUAAAGCCAAAUGAAUAAGUCAAAAUGGCAUGCAAAAGAUAAAGAGAAGGGUGUAGAGUUGUUGGCAACCACCAAGCUGUGGAUUUUUAAAUUCAUAUAUUUUAUAGUAGAUAUCCAGGCAGCUAAACAAAGUACAAAUAGGUGCAUAUAUUAGAACAAGAAGCAAAAUCACAUUGUCGCCUUUCUGAAGCCUGUAAAAAUGAACUAUUAAUUUCAGUGGAGUUGAGACUAUACUUCAUACUGAUUCUCACAGCCAUGUUGAACUAAAGGUAAUUCAGUUUCUUCCCCAAUGAUUUUGUUUGACUCCCAAAUCCAGGGAUUCAUCCCACUGAAAAGUAACAUUUUGAGAUACAUAAAAAUGGCCAUAUUUGGAGGUCUCCAAUUUCAGCUGUGCUGAUAUCAUAUUGAGCUUUAACAUACCUGUGUUCUGCUUUUAGAUUUCACAGAUGUGCAAAACUAAUUGACCCAGUCUGGCACACCCAUUCAAUAUAUGCCCAAAUAUUGCUCCCGAAUUCUCCCUUCCACUUAGGGAACCUCCACUGAAUAAAACUAUAUGUGCAAUAAGAAAAGAGGCAUUUUGGAUUCUCCUUGUUAAGCAUCCAACAGUGCAGUCCUGCACAUCUUUACUCAGUUGUGAGUUUCACAGUAUUCAUUGGGGCUUACUCUGUAGUAAAUGUGUUUAGAAGUUCUUCAACCUUGUUUUCAAGUUCCUUACUGCCAGGUCAUCUCAUGCUGAAGUUCUGAAGGAGUCCAUCUCUCUUCCCAUGAAUUCUUUCUCUUGGUGUAUUCCAUUCACCUUCACUAGAUGCCCUUCACUAGAUGUCUUGGGCAUCUAUUUUGCAUUAGGGUUAGGGUUAGGUCUUUAUUAUCUUCUCACAACUGCAUGUUACUGUGUGUUUCAUUGUACAUGAGUUUCCAUUCCUAUCCACAGAGGCAGCAAAUCUGUCUGCAGAUGGAUCAGAUGCCUAAGUUGAAAUAAAUGUGAAGAACCAUUUUAUGGCCUGGGGGAAGUUAUGCAUACACCAGAGUUCUUGCACCGGUAGGAAAUGUGCAAAAAUCCAGGUCUGUCUCAUACAUUGCAAUCCUAUACAUAAAUGGAGAAGUAACUUCAGUGGGACAUUCUCCAGCAAGUGUGUUUAGGAUUGCAGCCAUUAAAAGCUAAUUUCCUUAUUUGCAUUCUUCCUAGAUGAUUUUGGAUUGACCCUGAAAAGAGAGUGCAUUUUGGGGGGGGGGGGAAUCAUUGUGCUACAGACAUUGAAAAGGUGCUGUACUGCUGUUAAUGCCUAAUGCGUCAUGCUUAAUGACAUCACCAGAGCCCACCCAUGACAUUGCCGGGCCCUGCUCCUAGGUCUUAGGUUUGCACCUUGAAAUACCAGGAUCUGGGAUGCUCCUGACCAGGAGGGCUGUGAAUCGCAGCACAGCCAGGUCAAGCAGGAAACAUGGAGGCUGAUUGGUUGGAGGCACCACACAGUAUUUGGGAGACAAUAUUACCCCCUGUCUCCUAAGAUCUCUCAAGUUCCUAUAAGUGUUCAGCUUCCUGACACUCGAUUGCCCACACCCAGCUAUGAAACGGAAGCAGCUAAGCAAAUGGCAGUCAGAAGAAACAUGCCUCUUCUGUCUACACAGAUCAUACUGUGUGAUAUGCAGGGCAUAUCAGCCACCCCAGUAGAUGACAACCACAUGUUAUUUAUUAUGUAACUAAUAGAACAUGGUGAUUUUUACCAAAAGAUACAAGGUUUGCCAUUAUGUUUGAUUUGCACAGCACUUAGAGCUUGCUUUUGCUCUCACUCUCAGAGAUGACUUUCAGUGCAUCCCUGUUUAUGCCAAUAAAUCUUCUUUAAAUGAUA